UGCUUAUCAAGAAAGACGGAGGGAUUAGGCCCUGUGAUGUCUUAGCAACCCAAUUCAGUUGGGUGCUACUUCCUGCCCACCACGCCCGCCGUGCUGGGGGAGAUGAGUG
rnacentral:ncRNA from 2 species